GAGUUUGAUCUUGGCUCAGAUUGAACGCUGGCGGCAUGCCUUACACAUGCAAGUCGAACGGCAGCACGGGAGCUUGCUCCUGGUGGGCGAGUGGCGAACGGGUGAGUAAUGCAUCGGAAUGUAUCCUGGAGUGGGGGAUAACGUAGCGAAAGUUACGCUAAUACCGCAUAUUCUGUGAGCAGGAAAGCGGGGGACCUUCGGGCCUCGCGCUCUUGGAGCGGCCGAUGUCGGAUUAGCUAGUUGGUGAGGUAAAGGCUCACCAAGGCGACGAUCCGUAGCAGGUCUGAGAGGAUGAUCUGCCACACUGGAACUGAGACACGGUCCAGACUCCUACGGGAGGCAGCAGUGGGAAUUUUGGACAAUGGGGGCAACCCUGAUCCAGCCAUGCCGCGUGAGUGAGAAAGGCCU
rnacentral:rRNA from 1 species